rnacentral:rRNA from 1 species
GAUGAACGCUGGCGGCGUGCCUAAUACAUGCAAGUCGAGCGGACGGACGAGAAGCUUGCUUCUCUGAUGUUAGCGGCGGACGGGUGAGUAACACGUGGAUAACCUACCUAUAAGACUGGGAUAACUUCGGGAAACCGUAGCUAAUACCGGAUAAUAUUUUGAACCGCAUGGUUCAAAAGUAAAAGACGGUCUUGCUGUCACUUAUAGAUGGAUCCGCGCUGCAUUAGCUAGUUGGUAAGGUAACGGCUUACCAAGGCAACGAUGCAUAGCCGACCGGAGAGGGGGAUCGGCCACACGGGAAGUGAGACACGGUCCAGACUCCUACGGGACGCAGCAGUAGGGAAUCGUACGCAAUGGGCGAAAGCCUGACGGAGCAACGCCGCGUGAGUGAUGAAGGUCUUCGGAUCGUAAAACUCUGUUACUAGGGAAGAACAUAUGUGUAAGGAACUGUGCACAUCUUGACGGUACCUAAUCAGAAAGCAACGGCUAACUACGUG